rnacentral:rRNA from 1 species
GGCUCAGAACGAACGCUGGCGGCAGGCCUAACACAUGCAAGUCGAACGGGUGCCUUCGGGCACUAGUGGCGGACGGGUGAGUAACGCGUGGGAACGUGCCCUUUGGUUCGGAAUAGCCUCGGGAAACUGGGAGUAAUACCGGAUAAGCCCUUCGGGGGAAAGAUUUAUCGCCAAAGGAUCGGCCCGCGUUGGAUUAGGUAGUUGGUGGGGUAAUGGCCUACCAAGCUGACGAUCCAUAGCUGGUUUGAGAGGAUGAUCAGCCACACUGGGACCGAGACACGGCCCAGACUCCUACGGGAGGCAGCAGUGGGGAAUCUUAGACAAUGGGGGAAACCCUGAUCUAGCCAUGCCGCGUGAUCGAUGAAGGCCUUAGGGUUGUAAAGAUCUUUCAGUGGGAAGAUAAUGACGGUACCCACAGGAGAAGCCCCGGCUAACUCCGUGCCAGCAGCCGCGGUAAUACGGAGGGGGCUAGCGUUGUUCGGAAUUACUGGGCGUAAAGCGCACGUAGGCGGACCGGAAAGUCAGAGGUGAAAUCCCAGGGCUCAACCUUGGAACUGCCUUUGAAACUCCUGGUCUUGAGGUCGAGAGAGGUGAGUGGAAUUCCGAGUGUAGAGGUGAAAUUCGUAG